rnacentral:rRNA from 1 species
UACGUAUGGUGCAAGCGUUAUCCGGAUUUACUGGGCGUAAAGGGAGCGCAGGCGGCGCGCCAAGUCUGAUGUGAAACCCCGGGGCUCAACCCCGGGCAUGCAUUGGAAACUGGCGGGCUGGAGUGCCGGAGAGGUAAGCGGAAUUCCUAGUGUAGCGGUGAAAUGCGUAGAUAUAUGGAGGAACACCGAUGGCGAAAGCGGCUCUCUGGCCUGUAACUGACACUGAGGCUCGAAAGCGUGGGGAGCAAACAGG